GCUGUUUUGGCAGAAUUAGUGCAUUAAAUUUAGAAUUUAAGUAGAUGAUUAAAUAAUUAUAUACAGUA
rnacentral:tRNA from 1 species